CUGUACUGUCUCCUCCAUUCAGGGGAGAAAAUAAGAACUCCCUGAUCAUCGCAGAUUGGACUCGGGAGAAGAAAGAAAAACUGAGAGAGAAAGGAAGGAAGUGGGUGCAAGGAAGAUCCACUUGACUGAACGAGGCGGUUUCAUGCUGGUUGAGAGAGAAACAGGACAGCUGUCAACCAAAAAAGCCAUCUUUAAAGGACAGGUCGCCAUCUAGUGGCACUCUGCUUUAUCUUUCUCAAAAUCUCAGCGGUCCAAGGAUUCUCCUGGAAGGACACGCAGUUGCCUCUCUCCUUGAGUUUCUACCCGUUGCUUCUUGUCCUGCCCUCAGGGGCUUUGGAGAAUAGGAUGACCCCCUUUUCUGAGACUUUGGAAGACUGCUCUCAUGUCACUCCUAGUCCUUCUUUUCAUUAAACUAGACAUACCCAAAUCCUACAA